rnacentral:misc_RNA from 1 species
GAUGAAGAACGUAGCGAAAUGCGAUAACUAAUGUGAAUUGCAGAAUUCAGUGAAUCAUCGAGUCUUUGAACGCACAUUGCGCCCCCUGGUAUUCCGGGGGGCAUGCCUGUCCGAGCGUCAUUGCUGCCCUCAAGCACGGCUUGUGUGUUGGGCUCCGUCCCCCCGGGGACGGGCCCGAAAGGCAGCGGCGGCACCGAGUCCGGUCCUCGAGCGUAUGGGGCUUUGUCACCCGCUCUGUAGGCCCGGCCGGCGCCAGCCGACAACCCAUCAUCCUUUUCAGGUUGGCCUCGGAUCAGGUAGGGAUACCCGCUGAACUUAAGCAUAUAAUAAGCGGAGGA